GAUGAAGAACGCAGCGAAAUGCGAUAAGUAGUGUGAAUUGCAGAAUUCAGUGAAUCAUCGAAUCUUUGAACGCACAUUGCGCCCCUUGGUAUUCCAUGGGGCAUGCCUGUUCGAGCGUCAUUUGUACCUUCAAGCUCUGCUUGGUGUUGGGUGUUUGUCUCGCCUCUGCGUGUAGACUCGCCUUAAAACAAUUGGCAGCCGGCGUAUUGAUUUCGGAGCGCAGUACAUCUCGCGCUUUGCACUCAUAACGACGACGUCCAAAAGUACAUUUUUACACUCUUGACCUCGGAUCAGGUAGGGAUACCCGCUGAACUUAAGCAUAUCAAUAAGCGGGGGA
rnacentral:misc_RNA from 1 species